AGAGUGAACGCUGGCGGUAGGCCUAACACAUGCAAGUCGAACGGCAGCACAGUAGGAGCUUGCUCUUACGGGUGGCGAGUGGCGGACGGGUGAGGAAUACAUCGGAAUCUACCUUUUGGUGGGGGAUAACGUAGGGAAACUUACGCUAAUACCGCAUACGCCCUUCGGGGGAAAGCCGGGGACCAGCAAUGGCCUGGCGCUGAUAGAUGAGCCGAUGUCGGAUUAGCUAGUUGGUGAGGUAAUGGCUCACCGAAGGCGACGAUCCGUAGCUGGUCUGAGAGGAUGAUCAGCCACACUGGAACUGAGACACGGUCCAGACUCCUACGGGAGGCAGCGAGUGGGGAAUGUUAGGACAAGUGGGACGCGAAGCCUGAUCCAGCCAGUACCGCGGUAGGU
rnacentral:rRNA from 1 species